UCCAGGGAAAGGGACCCACUUCCUACUUCUAUCUGGAUUUCUGGGUGCAGUGAACCUUCCGCAGGAUCAGUGUCAAAGCCCACACAGACACACAAGCUCAUCUAACCAAGAGUAAACCAUCGGCCACCACUAUUUCAAACAUUCUGAAGAACCACACGUAAAAGGCAAGUCCGCCUGGGGAACAAGCGGGGAGUUCUACAGACUUUCUUCUCAGAAUCCAGUUUGGACACACAACCUGGUCUCAAAGUGGAUAUUUAACCUGCAUGCCGGCGUCCCCACCUACCCCAAGAGGAUGUGCCUGCUAACGUGGUUUACAUUAAGAAUAAAUGAGCUCAUCCAGGCAGAGCUGUAAGACACAACAGCCAACUGAUAUGCUGACAAGUUUACAGAUGAUCCCUCUUAAGAAUGCUGAUAAGCUCAAGUCUCCAACCUAGAAAGCAACCUCUUGCUUAGCACUGCCUGAAUGUACAUACGAC